GGUAAGGAUAUGCGACGUUACGUGUCAACGAUUGUGUUCGCCAUAAACUGCAAAAAAUAUUCAGAUUGUCAAAACGUCAGGCAGUGUCGAGGACAAAGAAGAGCCCGUGGAAAUAGUGAGUAACAUUGCAUAGAAUGCAACAGUAUGAAAGAAUUGUUACGGGGGCUGUGUUGCGUUCAAGUGCUCCUCAGAUGAUCCCCUUUUGCCGAGUUGAGAAGUCGUUACUCCGAGUU